GAGGGUAUAGCUCAAGUGGUAGAGUGCACGCCUAGCAUGCAAAAGGUCCUGGGUUCAAUCCCCAGUAUCUCCU
rfam:Camelus ferus unplaced genomic scaffold scaffold1681, whole genome shotgun sequence.